CUCUCUCUCUCCAUCUAGGGUUUCGCCUUCCUCUCUCUCUCUUUCACACAACGACGGCGCCGAUCAUCCGUCACCGCCGAUCCUCCCUCACUCCCGAUCCUCCCUCACCGUCGCUCGUACCUCACUGUCGAUCCUCCUCCCUUACCGCCGCUGCUGCCUCCCUCUCUCUCUCUCUCACAAACGACGUUGACGGUUGCUCGCCCCUCACCGCCACUCCUCCCUCACCGGCGAUCUUCCCUCACCGCCGAUUUCAAAGGAUCUGCCUACUGCUACUCAUACCUGCCUCUUUGCAUCUG